CAGCAGCCGCGGUAAUACGUAGGUGGCAAGCGUUAUCCGGAAUUAUUGGGCGUAAAGCGCGCGUAGGCGGUUUUUUAAGUCUGAUGUGAAAGCCCACGGCUCAACCGUGGAGGGUCAUUGGAAACUGGAAAACUUGAGUGCAGAAGAGGAAAGUGGAAUUCCAUGUGUAGCGGUGAAAUGCGCAGAGAUAUGGAGGAACACCAGUGGCGAAGGCGACUUUCUGGUCUGUAACUGACGCUGAUGUGCGAAAGCGUGGGGAUCAAACAGGAUUAGAUACCCCAGUAGUCCCUGUCUCUUAUAC
rnacentral:rRNA from 1 species